rnacentral:miRNA from 1 species
ACACAUUCCAGCCAAUCAGCAGCAGACCCUCCCUCCCAGACCCUCCCAUCUCCUGGACAGCUCACUAAGAAUGCAGCUUCAGAAUGAAUGUAAAAUGGAUGCUGUCCAGGAGGUGGGAGGGUCUGGGAGGGAGGGUCUGCUGCUGAUUGGCUGGAAUGUGUCU